rnacentral:rRNA from 1 species
AGAGUUUGAUCCUGGCUCAGAACGAACGUUGGCGGCAUGGAUUAGGCAUGCAAGUCGAACGAAUCCCAGCAAUGGGGGAAGUGGCGAAAGGGGCAGUAAUGUAUGGGUACCUACCCCGGGGUUGAGCAUAGCCAUUCUAACGGAUGGGUAAUACUCGACGAUGUCGCAAGACCAAAGCUCCAGCGCCCCGGGAGGGGCCCAUAUCAGAUUAGCUAGUUGGGGGGGUAACGGCCCACCAAGGCGAAGAUCUGUAGCGGGUGUGAGAGCACGACCCGCGCCACUGGCACUGAGACACUGGCCAGACACCUACGGGUGGCUGCAGUCGAGGAUCUUCGUCAAUGGGCGAAAGCCUGAACGAGCGAUGCCGCGUGUGCGAUGAAGGCCUUCGGGUUGUAAAGCACAAAAGAGAUGAGAAAGGGCAACUUGAUCGAAUCUCAGUAAGCUCGGGCUAAGUUCGUGCCAGCAGCCGCGGUAAGACGAACCGAGCGAACGUUGUUCGGAAUCACUGGGCUUAAAGGGCGCGUAGGCGGGUGGCUAAGUCUGUGGUGAAAUCCUCCAGCUCAACUGGAGAACUGCCAUGGAUACUGGUCGUCUCGAGGAAGGUAGGGGUACGUGGAACUAUCGGUGGAGCGGUGAAAUGCGUUGAUAUCGAUAGGAACUCCGGUGGCGAAGGCGACGUACUGGACCUUUUCUGACGCUGAGGCGCGAAAGCCAGGGGAGCAAACGGGAUUAGAUACCCCGGUAGUCCUGGCCCUAAACGAUGGGUACUAGCUAGUAGGGUUCACAUGGCUUUACUGGCGAAGCAAAAGUGCUAAGUACCCCGCCUGGGGAGUAUGGUCGCAAGGCUGAAACUUAAAUGAAUUGACGG